rnacentral:lncRNA from 1 species
UUAUGGAAAAGUGGUAAGUCUUGCUCAGAAACAAGAAAUACAAGGGAAGUUCCAUUUUGCAGGGAAGGCAUGUGUUGAUGGUUUUGGGGAGGAGGGCUGUGUUUGUGACAAGGAGGGGGCCAGGUGGAUGAGGUAACUGAACAUGGCAGUCUGAACACAAAGAAUUCCAGUCUAGAAUUUAUCAUACAUGUGUUUGCAACAAUACACACACACACACACACACACACACACACACAUCACACCAACACAACAAUUCUACCAAUGUACAAUUUGGCAAAGCUGUAAGUUUCUUGGGGAGACUUACAGGAUUUAUAGGCCAUAGGAUCCUGAACAGCUCAACGGUAUCUAUAUCACAGAAAAGCCCACUCCAGCAGGAAGCUGCAAGCCUGGAGCUCUCUGCAUGACUUGCAGGCAGUUCACCAGAUGGAGACUCUAUUCUCUUAGGCUAUUGUUUAUUGAGUCUAUAACUUUGGCUGAGGAUCUGUGAAUCUUGUUAGUUCGGGAUUUCCUGGACUUGUGAGGUGUAUUUCCUGAGUCUCAUGAGCCUAUACAUCAAGGUCUGAGUAGGUUUGUAGGUCCCCUCAAGGGAAGAUAAAGGAGGGUCUUCCAACUGAUAGCUAAUUCAGGCCUUCAAAAAAGAAUAUUGGUGAACUGGUGCCAGGGCAGAGCAGGGACUCCCUCCCAUACCCAGGGAUGGGGAAGGUCACCUCAUGCUCAUCAAAGAAAAAAAUCCACCCAGAUGAACUCUCAGUUCUGAACAUCUAUGCCUCAAAUGCAAGGGCACCCACAUUUGUAAAAGAAACAUUGCUAAGGUUCAAAACGCAUGUUUAUCCUCACACAAUAAUAGAGGGAGACUUUAACACCCAACUUUCACCAAUGGACAGAUCAUGGAAACAGAAACUAAAUAGAGACACAGUGAAACUAACAGAAGUUAUGAACCAAAUGGGUUUAACAGAAAUCUACAGAACAUUUCGCCUUAAACAAAAGAAUAUACCUUCUUCUUAGUACCCAUGGUACAUUCUCCAAAAUUGACCAUAUAAUCAGACACCCAAAAAAGCCUCAACAGAUACAAGAAGAUUGAAAUAAUCCUAUACAUUCUAUCAGAUCACCACAGACUAAGGCUGGUCUUCAAUAACAAUAAAAACAACAGAAAACCCACAUACUUAUGGAAAUGGAACAACUCUCUAUUCAAUGAUAACUUGGUCAGGGAAGAAAUAAAGAAAGAAAUUAAAGACUUUCUGGAAUUUAACAAAAAUGAAGGCAUGACAUACCUAAACUUUUGGGACCCAAGAGAAGUCCAGAGGGACGAAUAGAAAUAAGUAUCAAUGGGGGGGGGGGGGAAGGCUUGAGAAACCACUAGAAAGUCCCAAAAGCCAGGGAUGCAAGAGGCUCCCAGGACCCACUGGGGAUUAGCUAAAAUACCCAACAGCAGGGAGAUUGAACCUGAAGAGACCUCCAGUAGAUAGACAUGGCCCCCAGUGGAGGAAUGGCGACACCCACCCAUCUCAAAAUUUUUAAUCCAGAAUUGUUCCUAUCUCAACGAAAUGCAAAGAUAAAAAAUGGAGCGAGGCUAAAGGAAAGGCCAUCCAAAGGUUGCCCCACUGGGCCAUCUGCAGAUACCAAAUCCCAACACUAUUGCUGAUGCCAAGAUGUACUUGAUGACAGGAGCCUGGUAUGGCUGUUCUCUGAGAGGCUCUGCCAGCACCUGACUAAGACAGAUGUAGAUACUCCAAGCCAACCAUUGGACUGAGUUUGGGGACCCCAAUGGAAGAGUUAGGGGAAGAGCUGAAACAACUGAAGGGGAUUGCAACCCUAUAGGAAGAGCAACAGUAUCAACUAACUUGGCUCCUCAGAGCACCCAGAGACUAAGCCACCAAGCAGAGAGUAUACAUGGAAGGAGCCAUGGCUCCAGGUGCAUAUGCAGCAUAGGACUACAUCAUCUGGCACCAGUGGGAAGGGAGGUACUUGGUCCUGUGGAGGCUUGAUGCCCCAGAGAAGUGGGAUGAGUUAGAAUGCAAACUGUGUUACUUACCUUCUGCUUGUCCCAGCAUGAUAAACUCACUGAAGCUUCUUGGAAACACACGUGAUUCCUAAGCCAGUUCCCCAGUACUAACCAUAUGUAUGCUAGAAGAAUAAAUUAAGCUAUUGUUUUUAAUAUAAGAGAAGCCAAAUGUCAUUUUGAAAGGAACAACCAAAAGCUUCUAACUUUUGAGCCAGAGAGCACCUCCAUGGACAUUAUAACUUCAAUAACACGGCAAGGAGAAACCUUCAGAAAACCAAAACCAAACUAAACAAAAUCCAAAAUACAAACAGAUAGGACACCAUGCCAUAGUUCAGGAUAUGGACUCUGGGCCUGAAAACUGUGGGUUUGUACCCUGACUCUGUUUUAGCUUGGAUCACAGUGUUCUAAUCUGUAAAAUCGGGCUCAGAGAAGAGGAGAUUCAGAUGGACCAUCAUCUGAAGACUCCAAUAAGAUGUAUUAGCUAUCAUUAUCAUCACUCUCUGAUUGCACAACCCGAAAUGAGAGACUAUCCAUUUGUGUUCUUCUAAAUAUGCUGGUAGAAAGAGAGGAAGAAAUGAAGAAGAAUAGGAACUCAUUAACCUCAAGAUGAGUAAGUUUCCUGUUCCAAAUGAAAGCUUGCUGUUUCUGUCAUUGUCUUGGAAGUAUUUGCCCAUCCCACACAUGUGAUGGACAGUCUCACAACAGCAUGAGUCCCUUCCAGGCACCCGUCAUUUCCCAUUAACAUAUGCUACAGACUCCAUGCCAUACUAUUUUAUACCCAUUGAAAGAGCCAAUUGCCAUUUAAAGAGAUUUCUUUUUUUUUUUUAAAGAGAUUUCUUAAAUGAGAAAAAAAAAGUAUAUGUUUAAUGGUGUUGCUACCAUGUCUGGCUUCCUUCACUCCUCCAUGGUUCGUGUUUCCAUCUGGUUCCUUCUUGUUUGGUUUCUUUAACAGUUCCUGUGGUGUGUGCCCUUCAGCCAUGUGCACUUUUAACGUUUCCUGGGCUUAAAGCCAUUCUUUCAUGGUCAGUUCUGAAAAGUGUUUUCACUUAUUUGGCAGGUCUUAUUUGACAGCCCCUCACCCUCAUGCACACAUGCCAGUCCUUUAAAGACAUUGUUCCACUGUCUUCCUGCUUCCAUUCAUUGUAUCAGACAAGAAGUCUGUUCACAUAUUUAUCUUUGUCGCUCUCUGUAAGCACAAGGCUUUCCUUCCUCUGGCUCUUUGGGUGUUUUCCCCUCUUUAUCGUUAGCUUUAAGCCACUUACUUAUGACGGACUUUAUGGAUUUUCCUUCAAGCGUCUUGUGGUUGGGCUUCACUAAGCUGCUUCAAUAUGUGGUUUUAUGGUUUUCAUCGCGUUCAUAAAGUUAUUAUUAUUUUUGUAGUAUUCUAGUGUAUAAGUUAUGUAACAUGAGUACCCUGACUCUUUACAGUUGUUUUCCUUGGACCUUAGGAAGGUUGUGAGGUAAAGCUGUCUUCAGAGUCACCAACUAUGCCUUGUGUGAGGCCUUGGAACGCAAUGAUCCAAAAUAACUGGUUUGUUGUGUUUUGUUGUUUUUGUUUUUUAAAUUCUCUUCUCUGGUGCUCUAUUUUAAAUUUUGUUGAGCAUAUGAUAACUGAUAUUGUCAACUUAAUAGGAUCUAGAAUCACUUGGAAAGCAAGCCUCUCAGAGUGUCUGUAGGGAAUUAUAUAGGUUAGGUUAGUCUUUGGGCCUGCCUAUAAGGGAUUAUAUUAUCUAGGUUAGGUUAGCCUCUAGACCUGCCAGGAAGCCAUUAUAUAUGUCAAGUUUGUUGAGAUGAGGAGACCCAUCUAAAUUAUGAGUUGUACCAUUCCUGAGCUGAGGUCUGUGACUGAAUAAAAAGGAGAAAGCAAGCUGACGAUGUGACCAGUCAUCUCAGGUUCCUAAUACCGUGACUUCCCCAUCAUGACUUUGGUGGUUAGGUAUGGCCCCCGUGGACUCAGGUGUUUGAAUGCUGGGUUCAAAGAUAGGAGCACUACAUUUGGCUUCUCUUAUA